rnacentral:tRNA from 1 species
GGUUCCUUGGUGUAAGAUGAGCACUCUGGAUUCUGAAUCCAGCGAUCAGAGUUCAAAUCUCGGUGGGACCU